rnacentral:rRNA from 1 species
CGGAUAGAGCUAGCGAAGUCGUUCGUAUUCAGCCAAAGGCUCGUGGUCGCCUGCUGUCGAGUUGCUAAUCCCGCUCGGCGGUAGUCCGGCUGCGGGCUGAGGUGCAUUUGCGGGCGUAUGCGCUGAGACUUGUGGGGCAGCUGCUGGACCCGUGUUCUAGAGGCCUCCCUCUGGGAGGAACCUGGUCGCGGCGACGGUUGUUUGCCCUGCUCGUAUGGGUACGGCCAACGGACCUUGCCUGUGCCGUUGUUCCCUUGCGGUGGUAUCGCAUGCGAUGCCUAGCCUGGGGGCAGCGGUUCGGUCCGGUGUUCCCGUUUCCCGCUCUCGGUGUAGAAGCUGGUCAUCUCUCCGACCCGUCUUGAAACACGGACCAAGGAGUUUAGCGUAUGCGCGAGUCAUUGGGUGCGAAAACCCACAGGCGAAAUGAAAGUAAAGGCCCGGUCGCUGGGCUGACAUGCGAGUGCUGGGGCCUCGGCCCCGGCAUGCAGCAUGGUCCCGUUCCGGUCGCUUGCGACGGAGCGGAGACAGAGCGUAUGCGCUGAG